rfam:Dipodomys ordii contig_37305, whole genome shotgun sequence.
UGGCUCAGUGGUAGAGUGCUUGCCUUGCAUGCAUGAGGCCCUGGGUUCAAUCCCUCAG